rnacentral:rRNA from 1 species
AACGAACGCUGGCGGCGCGUUUUAAGCAUGCAAGUCGGACGGCAGGCUCCUCGCAAGGGGGGCCGAGAGUGGCGAACGGGUGAGUAAUACGUAGGUGAUCUGCCUCUGGAUGGGGGAUAGUCCAUGGAAACAUGGGGUAAUACCGCAUGAGGCCCUGCGGGUAGAGCCGUGGGGUGAAAGGUGCAAUUGCACCGUCUGGGGAUGAGCCUGCGGUCCAUUAGCUAGUUGGCGGGGUAAGGGCCCACCAAGGCGACGAUGGAUAGCCGGCCUGAGAGGGUGUACGGCCACACUGGAACUGAGACACGGUCCAGACUCCUACGGGUGGCAG